CUCAAAAUUCUCCAGAACUAGGUUAUGAGAAAGCAGUCUCCUGUCACUGCUAAUGUCAACCACCCGGUUCACUUUGGUUAUUUUUCAGAGUUGCUUGCAGUGAAAUGGCGUGGGAAAAUAGCUUUAAUGGAGACCCAUCAGAUGUCAGAAGCACUGAUAUGUAUGGGCCACAUUAUUGUACACAUGAUCUGUCACCUGGUUUCAUCUUCUCAGCCCCUCUGUAAGGUGAAACUGUAAAAGAAAUGUGUGACGAGGGUGUGCUAGUGGCCGUGGAGCUUGUAAGUGCCUGAGGAGCGAAGCCUUCAUUAACUUCUUUUCCUGCCUCUCCUGAUUUGAAGCUCCAUCAGAGCUUGGGGCGGGUAGAAACCGCUACCUGAUUGCUGCUGUUUGGGCCUGGCUGUUCGGAGCAGUAGAUGUGAUGGGAAUAGCGGUGCCGAGGUGACGCCGUCAGCAACUGUCUCCCAGUACACGCGCUCAUAUUCCUGUGUCCGCAUGCUCACACACACAUACUGUGUCCUUUAAAACACCGUUCUGUCCAAACGCAAGAGUGGGCCACUAUUUCUUCUUUCGGUUAAUAAAGUAAAUCUAAAAAUUUUAGAAAAAGCAAGUUCUUGGCACUGCAAGAACUAAAGGAAUGGGUC